AGGGUUCGAUUCUGGCUCAGAACGAACGCUGGCGGCAUGGAUUAGGCAUGCAAGUCGAACGGUGCAGCAAUGCACAGUGGCGCAAGGGUGAGGAACGCGUGAGUAAUCUACCCUCAAGUUGGGAACAGCUUCUGGAAACGGAAAUUAAUACCGAAUGUGACCAUUGGAAGGCAUCUUCUGAUGGUUAAAGGCCGCAAGGUCGCUUGAGGAGGGGCUCGCGUCCCAUUAUGCUAGUUGGUGAGGUAACGGCCCACCAAGGCGAAGAUGGGUAGCUGGUCUGAGAGGACGAUCAGCCACACUGGGACUGAGAACUGCCCAGACUCCUACGGGAGGCUGCAGUCGAGAAUUUUGGGCAAUGGACGAAAGUCUGACCCAGCCAAUGCCGCGUGCGGGAUGAAGGUCUUCGGAUUGUAAACCGCUGUCAAGUGGGACGAAACAAAUGACGGUACCGCUGAAGGAAGUCACGGCUAACUACGUGCCAGCAGCAGC
rnacentral:rRNA from 1 species